GCCGGCGACCGUACCACGUUGAAAGUACCGGUUCUCGUCCGAUCACCGCAGUUGAGCAACGUUGGGCCCGAUCAGUGCUUGCAUGGGUGACCGGCUGGAAAUACCGGGUGUCGCCGGCU
rfam:Schistosoma rodhaini strain Burundi genome assembly, scaffold: SROB_scaffold0000060